GGCCCGUUCGUCUAGGGGUUAGGACGCAGGAUUUUCAUUCCUGAAACACGGGUUCGAUUCCCGUACGGGCUACCC
rnacentral:tRNA from 1 species